rnacentral:rRNA from 1 species
ACCGCACAAGCAGCGGAGCGUGUGUUUAAUUCGUUGCUACACGAAGAACCUUUACCUGGGUUUGACAUAUAGGUUGUAGGGAACUGAAAGGGACCGACCCUUCGGGAGCCUAUACAGGUGUUGCAUGGCUGUCGUCAGCUCGUGUCGUGAGAUGUUCGGUUAAGUCCGCUAACGAGCGCAACCCUCGUCGUAUGUUAUAUGUGUCAUACGAGACUGCCGGUAAAAGCCGGAGGAAGGUGAGGAUGAUGUCAAGUCAGCAUGACCUUUAUAUCCAGGGCUACACACACGCUACAAUGGUCUGUACAAUGGGUAGCCAAGCCGCGAGGCGGAGCCAAUCCUGAAAGCAGGCCUCAGUUCAGAUUGCAGUCUGCAACUCGACUGCAUGAAGCCGGAGUUGCUAGUAACCGCAGGUCAGCAAUACUGCGGUGAAUACGUUCCCGGGUCUU